rnacentral:rRNA from 1 species
UACAGAGGUCUCGAGCGUUAGGCGGAAUCACUGGGCUUAAAGCGUGUGUAGGCGGAUCGUUAAGUGCCUUGUGAAAUCCCACGGCUCAACCGUGGAACUGCUUGGCAUACUGGCGGUCUUGAGCAACCUAGGGGCGAGCGGAACAAAUGGUGGAGCGGUGAAAUGCGUAGAGAUUGGGAAGAACACCGGUGGCGAAAGCGCUCUACUGGACUGCAACUGACACUCAGGGACGAAAGCUAGGGGAGCGAAUGGG